GGGUGAGUAACGCGUGAGAAUCUGCCCUCAGGAGGGGGAUAACGGCUGGAAACGGCCGCUAAUACCCCAUAUGCCGAGAGGUGAAAUGAGUAAUCGCCUGAGGAUGAGCUCGCGUCUGAUUAGCUAGUUGGUGGGGUAAGAGCCUACCAAGGCUUCGAUCAGUAGCUGGUCUGAGAGGAUGAUCAGCCACACUGGGACUGAGACACGGCCCAGACUCCUACGGGAGGCAGCAGUGGGGAAUUUUCCGCAAUGGGCGAAAGCCUGACGGAGCAACGCCGCGUGAGGGAUGAAGGCCUCUGGGCUGUAAACCUCUUUUAUCAAGGAAGAAGAUCUGACGGUACUUGAUGAAUAAGCCACGGCUAAUUCCGUGCCAGCAGCCGCGGUAAUACGGGAGUGGCAAGCGUUAUCCGGAAUUAUUGGGCGUAAAGCGUCCGCAGGCGGCCUUUUAAGUCUGUUGUCAAAGCGUGGAGCUUAACUCCAUUUCGGCAAUGGAAACUGGGAGGCUUGAGUGUGGUAGGGGCAGAGGGAAUUCCCGGUGUAGCGGUGAAAUGCGUAGAUAUCGGGAAGAACACCAGUGGCGAAGGCGCUCUGCUGGGCCAUAACUGACGCUCAUGGACGAAAGCCAGGGGAGCGAAAGGGAUUAGAUACCCCUGUAGUCCUGGCCGUAAACGAUGAACACUAGGUGUCGGGGGAAUCGACCCCCUCGGUGUCGUAGCCAACGCGUUAAGUGUUCCGCCUGGGGAGUACGCACGCAAGUGUGAAACUCAAAGGAAUUGACGGGGGCCCGCACAAGCGGUGGAGUAUGUGGUUUAAUUCGAUGCAACGCGAAGAACCUUACCAGGGUUUGACAUCCUGCGAACCCCUUGGAAACGAGGGGGUGCCUUCGGGAGCGCAGUGACAGGUGGUGCAUGGCUGUCGUCAGCUCGUGUCGUGAGAUGUUGGGUUAAGUCCCGCAACGAGCGCAACCCACGUCUUUAGUUGCCAGCAUUCAGUUGGGCACUCUAGAGAGACCGCCGGUGAUAAACCGGAGGAAGGUGUGGAUGACGUCAAGUCAUCAUGCCCCUUACAUCCUGGGCUACACACGUACUACAAUGCUACGGACAGAGGGCAGCAAACUCGCGAGAGCUAGCAAAUCCCAUAAACCGUGGCUCAGUUCAGAUCGUAGGCUGCAACUCGCCUACGUGAAGGAGGAAUCGCUAGUAAUCGCAGGUCAGCAUACUGCGGUGAAUACGUUCCCGGGCCUUGUACACACCGCCCGUCACACCAUGGAAGUUGGCCACGCCCGAAGCCGUUACUCCAACCCUUGUGGGGGAGGACGUCGAAGGUGGGGCUGAUGACUGGGGUGAAGUCGUAACAAGGUAGCCGUACCGGAAGGUGC
rnacentral:rRNA from 1 species